rnacentral:rRNA from 1 species
UACGGAGGGUGCAAGCGUUAAUCGGAAUUACUGGGCGUAAAGGGUGCGUAGGUGGUUUGAUAAGUUAACUGUGAAAGCCCUGGGCUCAACCUGGGAAGGUCAGUUAAGACUGUGAGACUAGAGUAUAGGAGAGGGUAAUGGAAUUCCCGGUGUAGUGGUGGAAUGCGUAGAUAUCGGGAGGAACACCAGUGGCGAAGGCGGUUACUUGGAGCUUUGCUGACGCUGAUGCGCGAAAGCGUGGGGAGCGAUCCGG